UUUGUUGUUUCAGACUGUUUUUCUUUUGCCUUUUCAGCAGCAGCCUGCAGGAAAUACAAGGCUGUCUUGUCAUUGUUGCCUGUCAUUCAGUGCACUGAUUUGCUUGUCUCAGAGAACGAGAGUUGUAACAGGAAACAAAAUGACAUCUCUGGAUCCAAAGGAGCCCUGAGAAAGUGGAAGGGACAGAUGCUGCUAGGAGGAGAGGAGUGCAGCUUGUGGCUGAGCCUGGAGCAGAGCUGUUCUGCACAAGGGGUUGGUGCAGGCUGCCUGGGCUGCCGGCUGGAGCACAGGCACCAGCGCCAGCUGCCCACAGCUUUACAUGACAUAGUUGGCACUGUUGAUUUAAACAGACUGAUGAACGUGACCUCCUAAAUGAAAUGUUAGUAAUUACACAUUAUAGACAGAGAACGCUCACAUUAAGAGCAUUUCAUAGCAGGUUUCUUUUUUAUUGUUGUUUAUUUGUUUGUUUUGAAAAGGAGAAGUUAAGCUAAUGUUCAGAUGUGCACUCAUUUGUUAAUACAAAUACUCAGUAGAUAUUCCCUAUUGAGGGACCUUGGCUCUGCAUUUCCUGCUCCAGUUCUUUUGGGUGGGGGGAAGAACACAGACAAAAACCAACAAAACAAAACAACAAAACAGAACAGCUUUCAAGUGGGUGUGAAAAGGAAGGAUACUAACGUGUGAGAUGUCAAUAAGCAUUUGCCUUGUUAAACUGUAAUCUAACAUAUGUUAAAGUAAGAACAAGACCUAAAACGAUACAGUUGUCCUUCGUGGAAGAUUUAUCAUAGAAAGGUACACCAUCAGCAUCUCAUUAGUAACCACACUUCUGGUCUUUCUUCAGGUUUUAGUGGAAUGAGACAUUCUUAUGUAGCUGUUACUAGUACUUGAAGAAACUAUUUUUGCUUAACAUCCAAUCUUCAGUAAAAAUUAAACAAGAAAAGGAGAAUUCAAAGACACAAGUCCCUCUGUCACAGCCAUCCAAACAGUGACAAGACAAAAAUCCUUGUUCUAAGUGCAAAGGGAAAAGAUGUCAAAGGAAAUAAAGUACUGUUGUGUUCUUAUGAAGGAUAACA
rnacentral:lncRNA from 1 species